UAAAGCUAUUCAUUCCAAAUCUAGUAUCCCAAAAGAGUACCCUAUUUCAUCUUUUAAUCUUCAAUCUCAUGAAGCAAAGCACCUUGCUUCUAAGAGAAAGUUGGAGUUUGGAAGUGGUGUUCUUUUCUACAACAGAGGUUGUGUGACAAUAAAAGAAAAGUACGACAAAAUAACAGCGGCUCACCAUGAUUUUACCAAUCCCACCGUGAAAUCAAACAUGUAGUCACUAAAACAAGUUUGUUAUUACAAUCAAAAGAAUACUACUGCUAAUCUAGCCAAAGUUCAGCCAUUCCCUUACGACCAACUACUGUCAAAUUCUAUUCACAUCAACGAGAAUUUAUCAAUAUUAAAUAAAAUAAAAACUAAGAUUUAGAAAGUUAAAUACAAGUCACUUGAACAAAUGGUGAUGGAGUUUCCAAUUAUUGACAAUCAUUAACACACUUUUCAGCACUGGUAUUAACUUCUAUAUUGCAAGCUCAUACAAAUCAUAAUUAAAAAAAAGAAGAAGAAAAAACUAAUAUGAGAAUCUGAAAUGAACAGCACACACUAAGUAGAUGCAAAUCAAACAUAAGUAAAACGAAAUAUGUGACAAGCGUAGGGAACUUUUAUCAGCACAAAAAGUAGAUGCAAGCAAACUGAAAGUAAAUAAUUCGUAAGAAGAAACGAAAUAUGUGAUAAGUACAGGCAAAUCAAACGAAAUCUGAGUGCAAGUAGCAACUUGAAAAAUAAAUCUAUGUGUUGAACAAACGAAAUCAAAGGAAAACUUACAAACGAAGAGCGGGAGGAUGAUGCGCGCGCGAUAGAUGAGAAGCGACGAGGCUACGAUGACUAUGGUUGAGAUGCGGUGGCGAGGUGUGACGGUGGUGAUUUGAGAUGCGACGGUGAUGUGUGAGAGUGGUGGGUUAAAAAUACGCGAGUGUGACGGUGUGAGGGUUUUGUUACGAUAGGCCUAAAUUGAGGGUUUUUUAUGAACAAUUUGUUUUAGAGUUAGCCCUAAAUUGUUAGUUAUGCAAAAAUAGGUCCUUGAUACAUUUCUUUUUUAGCAAAAUAUGUCUUUGUAACAAAAGAAAUUUCUUAAAAAUAUUGAAUAAUUUUAAUGUUUAUACAUGAUUUUUCUUUACUUUUUUAUAAACAAAUAUAAUAAUUAUAUUUUUUGAGAAUUUCUAUAGUAAAUUUAAAAAUUAAUUUAUUUU
rnacentral:lncRNA from 1 species